GCAAGUGUGGUAUAGUGGUUUGAGCUCUGGGCUACAUCCCUGGAGACCAGGGUUCAACUCCCUGUUCAGCCA